rnacentral:rRNA from 1 species
GUGAGGAAUUUUCCGCAAUGGGCGAAAGCCUGACGGAGCAAUGCCGCGUGAAGGAUGAAGGCCUAUGGGUUGUAAACUUCUUUUCUCAGAAAAGAAUUAUGACGGUAUCUGAGGAAUAAGCAUCGGCUAACUCUGUGCCAGCAGCCGCGGUAAGACAGAGGAUGCAAGCGUUAUCCGGAAUGAUUGGGCGUAAAGCGUCUGUAGGUUGUUUAAAAAGUAUUCUGUCAAAGAUUAGGGCUUAACCCUAGAUAGGCAGAAUAAACUUUUAAGCUAGAGUUUGGUAGAGGCAGAGGGAAUUCCCGGUGGAGCGGUGAAAUGCGUAGAUAUCGGGAGGAACAACAAAGGCGAAGGCACUCUGCUGGGCCAAUACUAACACUGAGAGACGAAAGCGAGGGGAGCAAAUGGGAUUAGAAACCCGAGUAGUCC